ensembl:processed_transcript
GCGGCCGCAGGAGGGGCAGCGCCCCCUGGCACAGCUUCUCUCGGUUCUUCGCUCCGCGGAACCCUUCUCGGGACAAGGAAGAGGAAGAGGAGGAGAAGCCGGGGACCGGCCAGCCGGCGGGAGCGAGCCGGAGUGCAGCCAGUGUUGAAAAUGAGCCCGUGAGCACAAGUCAGAAAAAGGAGAGUGCGCUUUCAUCAGAAGCAGUGAAGAUUCCCCAAGCUGAGGACAGAAGGAAUCAUGCUGAACAGCCGGCCAUCCUCCCCAUGGUGGACGAUCUCCCAAAGCCAAAGGACCUUCCGGAUUCCACCGCAGAGGCCAAAACAGGAGAGAGCGACCGGCAGCCAAAAGAAAGCUUUUUUCAGUUUCUUGGGAACUUAUUCAACAUCUCAGGAAAGUCUUCUCUUGGAGAGGUUAAGCAGUCUUCCUUCAAAGAUGACCAGGAGAAACCUGAGAAGGACCCACAGACUCCCAGGGGCCCUCCUGAGGAGGGGAGCCAAAGGGAGGAGGAGACUGCCAGCCGCCCAGUGAGGACUCAGGUACUUCCUGGGGACCAACAGGAAUCCACCUCCUCAGAACUCUCUGAUGCCUUUUCUUUGGAUUCAACAACACAAGACAGCGAACAGGAAACCGCUGAUAUGCCCAAAAAAGAUACGGUCGGUAAGCCAGAGAAGCCUUCAGUGACAUAUGCAACAUACCGAGGCCCCACACAAAUCAGAAAGUAUUUGCAGCAACAGCCUGUGUUGGAAACUGUGAAUCACUUAGACAGAGAAGAUGGAAGCUCUGACUCAAGUCCCCAGGCACAUGCUGGCUCCAGAAGCAUAAGGGACACUGUGACAGUCCCAUUGUCAACAGACAGCAAAGACGUAGCCACAAAAGGAUAUUUGCUUGGAGGUCCAUUAGAAGCCUCUGGUUAUAGCCAAAUAAAUACCAACCUAGAAAGCAAUCAGGAAAGCGUCCCAGGACUGCAGGAUAUUGCUUCAUCUAAGUGCAUUUCAAAUAAAAAUAGCCAUGGAGGCCUCAGGAGCAGUUGGGCCUCCCCUUCUUCCGUGUCUAACCCCAGCUAUGUUGUUGGAGAGCCUGACUCACAAACAGAAAGUGUUUUAGUAUGUUCAUCAGUGUUUAGAGGAAGCAAAAGUAGCCAAGGCCCUUGUCCAGAAUUUCAGAGGAAAACUGCAACCGACAGUCCACUGAGAGUAAACAGCUCUGCGGUGACUGAUGGGCUGCCAUCAGUGCCGGGAGAGGAGCCGGCUCGGCCUCAGAGGCUUUCUGUUCCUGACUUCUCCCGUAGUAAAUCUGAUGGGAGUGACACUACCAAAAUGGAAAGUACAAAUUUGUCAAGUCCACAUAAAUCAAUUAGGCAUGAAGAUGUACGGUUGCCAGAGCAUAAGUGUGGUGACAAGCCAGCUGUAGAUAACCCAUCAAGGCGGACUGUCAAUCACGCCUGCAUUAUGGCUCUCCGGGGACAUGCUGUGACAGACUCAGAACUUGUAAAUGAAGGAAAGAAGUUACCUGCCCGAGACUCGCAGAAAAAUGUGGUUUCAGAAAUCUUGAAAGAAACAGAAUGUGCCUCAGGCAGUGAGCCCACAACUUUAAGUCAUGUAAGAACUCCCGAAACGGAGUCACUGGAGCCACCGCCGCCACCGUGUGAAACAGAAACCAAAAGGCUGGGUUGGGAACUACAUGUCAAAACUCCUCACGAUAUGGGAAAAACUCAAGAGGACCCUGGGUCUGUGAAGGGUGUCAGUGACUCGGUGGCUGUCGCAUGCACAGGAAGUGAAGCAGCACAUGAACUAAAAUCUGAACCGAACAGAAAUCCUAUUUCUGAAUCUCCUUUUCUCUCAGAGAAUUCUCAACAAGGAGGCGUUUCCUCUGAUGCUGAGGCACCUCUUCACCUUGACUGUAAAACUUCUGAUUACAGUGCCUCACCUCCUACCUUGGCUUCUAGAAUCAACAGGCUUGGCAAGUUGGGUUUCCCGGGCUUAAAGAGUGAGAGAUCUACGUCCAGUAAAACUGGACAGGGCAAGGUUUUCUCUCACCCUAAUGAGUGUCAAGAAGAAGGUGUGGGAACUCAUUCUGAGGCUACAGACAGGGAGAAUCCUCCUGCCCUUUACCUUGGACAUGCAUCCUCAACCCUUGAAUCCAAGGAAUUUCUUCCUCAUGGUGAAAAGUGCCAAUCUCCUUCAGGUCCUGAAACUGCUGGCACUCAUUUAGCUGGGGUAGCUUUAAACUUUGAGCAUGGAGAUACCUCUGAGGAUCUCAAUUCUGUUCCGUCUCACGGUCCUAAGAAAGAAGAGUUAAUGUCCUCAAAUGCUAAAGCUAGUAAGAGCACUGUAGAGAAGUCUGAUUCUUUCCCCCUGGAAACUCAAACUGCUAAAAUGUUAGGAAAAGGAGAGGUUUGUGAUCAGAGCAGCUUCCCUGUUGAGUCGAGUUCUGGAAGACGAAAAGCCUUGUCCACACCCUCUGUUUCUCAGGCAGAACCCAGAGAUGUUCCUCAGUGCGACAUUUCCUCUUCUCAAGUAACAGUUGCGGAAAAGCUAGCAGAGACUGUUUUAUCGGAGUUAAAUUAUCUAGGUAUGGAAAAGGACGAAGAUGUUCAACCAGUGGGUCGCAAAGAGAUCAAACAGUUGUGUUUCAGUGGUGGUUUUAAAGAGAAUCACCAGACUGGGAUGUCUCCUGCCUCUAAACAUCACAGUGGACAAGAAACAGAGAUGAACACCCCAGAUGGCUCUGCUGCUGUUCUCAAGAGUAACCUGCCUGGGAUUCUGCCGCUGGCUCCAGAGGAGGAAUCCACAAGGCACAGGCCACAGAACCGUGAAGCUAGCACUUGCCUAGUCACUCCCUCUUUGGCUAUUUGU